AAGAUACUAGUAAAAUUGCUAUUACACUGCCUUGUCGAGACAGAAUAGCGGGUUAAAACCCCGCGUAUCUUA
rnacentral:tRNA from 2 species